GACCUGGAUGCGGAGCGGUCCGCGCCCACACCUCAUGGGCCAAGAAGCCUUAAAUUAAGUGGGCGUCCCUUGUUCGACUCAAGGCCAGGUCA